GAUGAACGCUAGCGGCAGGCCUAACACAUGCAAGUCGAGGGGUAGCAGGAUUAAGCUUGCUUAAUUGCUGACGACCGGCGCACGGGUGCGUAACGCGUAUGCAACCUACCUUAUACUGGGGUAUAGCCCGGAGAAAUUCGGAUUAAUCCCCCAUAGUACUAAUGAAUCGCAUGGUUUAUUAGUUAACGCAUUGCGGUAUAAGAUGGGCAUGCGUCCUAUUAGCUAGAUGGUGAGGUAACGGCUCACCAUGGCUACGAUAGGUAGGGGGCCUGAGAGGGUGGUCCCCCACACUGGUACUGAGACACGGACCAGACUCCUACGGGAGGCAGCAGUGAGGAAUAUUGGUCAAUGGGCGCAAGCCUGAACCAGCCAUGCCGCGUGCAGGAAGAAUGCCCUAUGGGUUGUAAACUGCUUUUAUUUGGGAAUAAACCUCUUACGUGUAGAGAGCUGAAGGUACCAAAUGAAUAAGCACCGGCUAACUCCGUGCCAGCAGCCGCCGUAA
rnacentral:rRNA from 1 species